rnacentral:tRNA from 1 species
UCAGGUGCUUGCAGGGGCGGCAAAAACCGGCUGUUAAUCAAUUGGUCGUAGGUUCGAUCCCUACCGCCGGAGCCA